CCGCCUGCAUAUGCAGAUAAAGGAAUAGCUACAGUGAGAAGAUAAGACCUGAGGAUGCAGUGUUGAAAAUCUUAGCCCUGAGACUAAAACAUCUGCGAUGAACAUUUUUGUGUGUGUGUGCGCGUGUGUGUAGAAGGGGAAUUAAUGAAGUAUUCUGUAUAACAUAAUUGUUCUGUGUGGAAUCAAUGUGAAUAUUUGUGACAUCAUGAGUUCAUGACAACUAAUUCUUGGUGGAGAAAAUGUGCACUCUUGUCAUGUUUGAGGUUACCACACCUUGUUCAGCAGAAACAGUGAUAUUGAAGACGCUCCUCCUAGUCCUUGAGCACUGCAACCUCUUGAUGGUAGCAAGGAAGUAUCUUCUGCUGACCCUUCUUUCCAUACGUGCUUCUUCCAUGGUGGUUUUGUAUUUUUAUCAUGCUCGUAAAGGUCUCCUGCCGAACUAUGAAGUAAAUUCUCCUGAGGGAUGGGCAAAUUUUGUCAGUCAUUCUGAAUUUCUGAUUAUGGAAGCUGUUAUGCUCAACACAGCUUGAGCAAUAAGAAAAUCCAACUACUCACUCCCCAUCUUUAGUAACAACUCCAGACUUUAUCAAACUUUGCUCUAUUUCUCCUCUUGUAUUGUGAUCAGCUGAAGCUUCAAGCUUUAUCCAAACCAGUUGCAAAUUUUCAACCAGUUGCAUCUGAAAAGAUGUUGCUGGCUCUGCAGAUGCAGGCAAAUCGUGGGGAGCAAUCACCCAUUGUACACCAUUCCAGAAUCUCUCAUAGAUUGACCCACUCUCACCGGUGAUCCAGACUGAUGCAUCAGACAUUUUUGUCAAAGAAACGCGAUUCCUCAAAGAACCUACAACGGUACAAUUACCAUUGAUACAAGUAACCAGAUCAUAAGGCAGUUCCACAGGCACCCAACUGUCUGUUUUCCCAUCAAACCGAA